UGAGAAUUAGUUCUCUUUUUUAAGAAUUGGUUUUUGAUUUCUUCUUUGUAUUACAUCACUUUGGAUAUGCCUAGUACAUCAAUUGCUACUUUAUGAAUGCAGCUUGCCUUUGCCCUCAAUGAGGUAUCAACAUUAUCAUUUAUGCAUCUUGUAUCAAUAGCUUUUCCUUAAAAUCUGUUUGCUUUGUGCCUUUUAGGUUCCAUCAUCGAGUUCUA
rnacentral:misc_RNA from 1 species